GUCCAGCCGACGAGUUCCAAGUAGGACGAAACACGCGUCUUGAAU
rnacentral:hammerhead_ribozyme from 1 species